rnacentral:rRNA from 1 species
GACGAACGCUGGCGGCGUGCUUAACACAUGCAAGUCGAACGCUGAAGCUCAGCUUUUGUUGGGUGGAUGAGUGGCGAACGGGUGGGUAACACGUGAGUAACCUGCCUCCUUCUUUGGGAUAACGCCCGGAAACGGGUGCUAAUACUGGAUAUUCACUGGUCUUCGCAUGGGGGUUGGUGGAAAGGGUUUUUCUGGUGGGGGAUGGGCUCGCGGCCUAUCAGCUUGUUGGUGGGGUGAUGGCCUACCAAGGCUUUGACGGGUAGCCGGCCUGAGAGGGUGACCGGUCACAUUGGGACGGAGAUACGGCCCAGACUCCUACGGGAGGCAGCAGUGGGGAAUAUUGCACAAUGGGCGCAAGCCUGAUGCAGCGACGCCGCGUGAGGGAUGGAGGCCUUCGGGUUGUGAACCUCUUUCGCUCAUGGUCAAGCCGCAACAAUGGUUGUGGUGAGGGUAGUGGGUAAAGAAGCGCCGGCUAACUACGUG